UUUAUGGAGAGUUUGAUCCUGGCUCAGGAUGAACGCUGGCGGCGUGCCUAAUACAUGCAAGUCGAGCGAACGGACGAGAAGCUUGCUUCUCUGAUGUUAGCGGCGGACGGGUGAGUAACACGUGGAUAACCUACCUAUAAGACUGGGAUAACUUCGGGAAACCGGAGCUAAUACCGGAUGAUAUUUUGAACCGCAUGGUUCAAAAGUGAAAGA
rnacentral:rRNA from 1 species